ACAACUUUCAACAACGGAUCUCUUGGYUCUCGCAUCGAUGAAGAACGCAGCGAAAUGCGAUAAGUAAUGUGAAUUGCAGAAUUCAGUGAAUCAUCGAAUCUUUGAACGCACCUUGCGCUCCUUGGUAUUCCGAGGAGCAUGCCUGUUUGAGUGUCAUUAA
rnacentral:rRNA from 1 species